AUUGAACGCUGGCGGCAGGCUUAACACAUGCAAGUCGAGCGGGGAAGGGUAGCUUGCUACCUAACCUAGCGGCGGACGGGUGAGUAAUGCUUAGGAAUCUGCCAUUUAGUGGGGGACAACAUUCCGAAAGGAAUGCUAAUACCGCAUACGUCCUACGGGAGAAAGCAGGGGAUCUUCGGACCUUGCGCUAAAUGAUGAGCCUAAGUCGGAUUAGCUAGUUGGUGGGGUAAAGGCCUACCAAGGCGACGAUCUGUAGCGGGUCUGAGAGGAUGAUCCGCCACACUGGGACUGAGACACGGCCCAGACGCCUACGGGAGGCAGCAGUGGGGAAUAUUGGACAAUGGGCGAAAGCCUGAUCCAGCCAUGCCGCGUGUGUGAAGAAGGCCUUUUGGUUGUAAAGCACUUUAAGCGAGGAGGAGGCUACUUUAGUUAAUACCUAGAGAUAGUGGACGUUACUCGCAGAAUAAGCACCGGCUAACUCUGUGCCAGCCGCCGCGGUAAUAC
rnacentral:rRNA from 1 species